rnacentral:rRNA from 1 species
CCUACGGGUGGCAGCAGUGAGGAAUAUUGGUCAAUGGACGAGAGUCUGAACCAGCCAAGUAGCGUGAAGGAUGACUGCCCUAUGGGUUGUAAACUUCUUUUAUAUGGGAAUAAAAUGUUCCACGUGUGGGAUUUUGUAUGUACCAUAUGAAUAAGGAUCGGCUAACUCCGUGCCAGCAGCCGCGGUAAUACGGAGGAUCCGAGCGUUAUCCGGAUUUAUUGGGUUUAACGGGAGCGUAGGUGGAUUGUUAAGUCAGUUGUGAAAGUUUGGGGCUCAACCGUAAAAUUGCAGUUGAAACUGGCAGUCUUGAGUACAGUAGAGGUGGGCGGAAUUCGUGGUGUAGCGGUGAAAUGCUUAGAUAUCACGAAGAACUCCGAUUGCGAAGGCAGUUCACUGGACUGCAACUGACACUGAGGCUCGAAAGUGUGGGUAUCAAACAGGAUUAGAUACCCUGGUAGUC